UACGUAGGGGGCGAGCGUUGUCCGGAAUCAUUGGGCGUAAAGCGCGUGUAGGCGGCCCGGUAAGUCCGCUGUGAAAGUCCAGGGCUCAACCCUGGGAUGCCGGUGGAUACUGUCGGGCUCGAGUCCGGAAGAGGCGAGUGGAAUUCCUGGUGUAGCGGUGAAAUGCGCAGAUAUCAGGAGGAACACCAAUGGCGAAGGCAGCUCGCUGGGACGUGACUGACGCUGAUUGUGCGAAAGCUAGGGGAGCGAACGGG
rnacentral:rRNA from 1 species